CUGUUGUAUACCACUUCCUCUAGUCUUAUCCAGGGGUUGGAGCAUAUGUGUGGGUAUUUUAGCAUUUUUCUGCAGAUGCAAGCAUCACCAAAACUACAUGAGCACAAGAUAUUUGACUGCAUGCUUUUAGGCAGUAGGAGUCAGAACAACAAUGAUGAUCUCAGUCCACUUCACGUUGCUCUUUUUUUUAGUGACACACGAUUUUGUGAGCUGUGUUAAAAUGACGAUACCCGGAGACCUGAUAGAUGUCUUGGCUGUAGCGUUGGGAGACUAUCUCACAUUAAACUGCACAUACAAUUGCUCCAGUGGAUUUGUCCGUGGCUGUUGGAGUAAAGCAUCAUACUCAGGCUGUCUUGGGAAUUACAGUAAAAGCAGUUUGUGCACAAUGUCCCUUCAUAUGUCAAAUGUGUCUACAAAAGAUGUCGAGAAGAUCUACACUUGCUACACACUAAACACAGAUGACCCGCAAGUUCGGAAAAACAUAGAACGCGUUGUUUCUCUGCAACUUCAAGUUACAGUUACAGUUACCCCAAAGACUGAAAAUGCAUCUCUUCCUGCUAAGCCAAACGACUCAAAUGGAGGAGAAUUGAUUGGAAUUAAGGUUUUAGCAACAGUUACCGUUGCUGUUGCCACGGUGCUUGCAGCCUUGGCAGUUUACUUGUGUCUGAACCGGAACAGACAGAACUGGACUGAUAAAGGGGAGCCUGUUGUGUCCAGGUCAGGUUCACCACUGCCUCCUCCCGCAGUCCCUUCACCAGUAAAAGGGUCACUGUCAACACAAAGUGAAAGAGUGACUUUGAGGAUUCCUACACCAGAUAAUGAGAGCGACACUGAGGUUCCAUAUGCUGACAUAAUGAUCACUGUCCGAGGUGUCAGUACGCCAGAGCUCACUCAGGUCAGCUACUUGACUCCUGGAGAUCAAAAAGAGUGGAGGGGUGAUGAAUCAAGGUCUCACCUGCAGGCCUCACGUUCAGCUGACAGACUGCAUGUCCCCCAGCCCAGAGAGGUCAGCCGUAAGAUGAGCACCAACUCUGAGUAUGCAGUCAUCACAUAUGCCUGAGGUCGCAACUGAUGGAAGAAUAAACACACGUCUUGUUUUUGAUGUACACGCUAAUAUGCAUUAUCUUUUGUUUUUUUAAGUAAUCCUACUUUAUAUGUACUUAUUAUAUUGUUUUUUUUUUACAUGUUCUGUUUAUAACUUGCAUUUAUAUCCAAUAAAGCCAUUCAAUUCAA
ensembl:lncRNA uncharacterized LOC115017937